rnacentral:rRNA from 1 species
AGAGUUUGAUCAUGGCUCAGGAUGAACGCUAGCGGCAGGCCUAAUACAUGCAAGUCGAACGGGUUGUUUCAGCAAUGGAACGAUCAGUGGCGCACGGGUGCGUAACGCGUAUGCAACCUACCUUAAACUGGGGGAUAGCCUUCCGAAAGGGAGAUUAAUACCGCAUAAGAUCACACGAGGGCAUCUGAGAGUGAUUAAAGAUUUAUUGGUUUAAGAUGGGCAUGCGUGCCAUUAGCUUGUUGGUGAGGUAACGGCUCACCAAGGCUACGAUGGCUAGGGGUUCUGAGAGGAUGAUCCCCCACACUGGUACUGAGAUACGGACCAGACUCCUACGGGAGGCAGCAGUAGGGAAUAUUGGGCAAUGGACGGAAGUCUGACCCAGCCAUGCCGCGUGCAGGAAGAAGGCCUUCUGGGUUGUAAACUGCUUUUAUCUAGGAAGAAAACACCCAUGCGUGGGAAACUGACGGUACUAGAUGAAUAAGCACCGGCUAACUCCGUGCCAGCAGCCGCGGUA